CAGUCGCCACGGGAAUACGUAGGGUGCAAGCGUUAAUCGGAAUUACUGGGCGUAAAGCGUGCGCAGGCGGUUUGUUAAGACAGAUGUGAAAUCCCCGGGCUCAACCUGGGAACUGCAUUUGUGACUGGCAGGCUAGAGUAUGGCAGAGGGGGGUGGAAUUCCGCGUGUAGCAGUGAAAUGCGUAGAUAUGCGGAGGAACACCGAUGGCGAAGGCAAUCCCCUGGGCCUGCACUGACGCUCAUGCACGAAAGCGUGGGGAGCAAACAGGAUUAGAUACCCCUGUAGUCCCUGUCUCUUAUAC
rnacentral:rRNA from 1 species